rnacentral:sRNA from 15 species
GGUGAGUUUUUUGGGAAUGGCGAGGACGGGUGAAAGCGGAGAGGCAGCAUGCGAGGUUGACGUCAGAAUGAGAAAAACAAUGAAAACGAUGGAAAGGAUGAAAUGUAUGGA